rnacentral:tRNA from 1 species
GCUUGAGCUAGUUCGGUUGGUAGAGCACAGGUCUGAAAGAUCUGGUGCCGGCAGUUUGGUUCUGCCUCUUAAGCA